CUGUUUGCCUACCAAGCAGGAGGUCAGUGCUGAACAGGAAAGUCAACUGCUCGUGUGUUGCAGGGCUGCAGCUCCAGCUCUAAAGACACCACACUGGAAGGACUGACAGACGCUAUGAGGAUCAGCCAAUCACUGGGGAUUAGACAGAUGAACUGCAGCCUCCAGAUGCCCAAACAAAUGGAAGUAUAGAGGGAGUUUUGUGCCAACAAAAAUAAAAUCAAACAAAAAAUUGUGGAGAAAGUCAAGAGGAAGCAGUUGAGUGAGGUGGGCUUGUUCCAUAACAUGGAGGACUGUGGGGCAUGGAUGGCUGUCUGCCAGGCUGCCAAGGUUAGGUGUCUUUUGUUUUUAGGAGAUUACCAAAUGUAUGUGCAUUUUAUCUGCUUUUCUUAUCUACCAAAGUGCAUGGUGUAACUCGGCAGACCCUGGCGGACAGGCUGAACGGCCGGGUGACCCAUGGUUGUCGCAMUGGACUACCCACAUUGAUUGCACCAGAGAAAGGAUGAAAAUGAUCUGGUGCAGAACUGUAUCUACUGCGCCAGCCAUGGGUUCCCCUUCACCAGACAGAGGCUCAUGAAAUACGCUGAUAAAAUACACAGCUAUUUGGUGUUCUAUGUGUUUAUGUAUGUAUGACUGACUGUUCUCAAUAUGUGUGAUGUAUAUGUGGAUGGGUGUGGUGAUGCCAAAAUAAACAUUUUCAUCCUGGAUGGACAAUUGUAUAWUCUAUUGUAGGUUUUGGCACCCAAGGGAAACAAUACCUCCACUAAUGAAAGUGGUGGGAAAUGUUCAGGAGGAGACACAAUAACUUGAGCAUGAGGAAGCUGGACAGGGGAGAGCUGAGUGUGCCAGACGUCUGACAAUGYACACCUUCACUUCUUAUGAGAAGCACUCGGAGGAGAGUGGGUUAGGGAGAAACCCAGACAAAUCCAUAACUGCGAUGACCCUGGGCUCCUCUGGACCAACUGCCUCCUCCGUCUCCCCUGGUCACACCACCACAGCAGCCCUGUCUGGUGUCCCUACUCCCUGCAAUUCGAAUACAGUCCCGACCCCCAAACACAUGUUAAAUUAUGAAUUACUGUUUGUAAUUUGUUUUAUAAAACUGCAAUGCUUAAAAAAAAAUACUCUACAGUUCAUAGCACCAGCCCUCAAUGCAAUUCCACCGCCUCCAAAACUUCUGCAACUUUUUCCAGAGGUAUUUAUGUAGAAAGUUGUCUAACACUACUUUUUCUCUCAACUGCAGCACAGGAAAAAAGAGAAAAGCUCCAUCGGCCACCUUUGUCACACCACCCAUGGCACCACCCUCAGAAGAAACCACCUGCUGUGCUCACUGCGGGGAGAGGUUCUGCCUGCAAGCUCCCCACAGGAGGUCCGAGGUGCCAUGGGUGUGCUGUGACUUCUGCCAGCACUGGUUCCUCUGCAGGUGUGUGCAGUGGGAUCCAGACGUGGCAGUGGAGAUGGAUUUUUAUUGUGAUUUUUGCGACAAUAUAGCAAUGGAGGUGGAGAUUUAACUGUUUGUUUUCAUAUUAAAUUAUUUAUUUGUAAAAAAAAAUGACAUGUCUAAAAUAUAAUAUAUA